rnacentral:rRNA from 1 species
CCUACGGGAGGCAGCAGUGGGGAAUAUUGGGCAAUGGGCGCAAGCCUGACCCAGCAACGCCGCGUGAAGGAAGAAGGCUUUCGGGUUGUAAACUUCUUUUGUCAGGGACGAGUAGAAGACGGUACCUGACGAAUAAGCCACGGCUAACUACGUGCCAGCAGCCGCGGUAAUACGUAGGUGGCAAGCGUUGUCCGGAUUUACUGGGUGUAAAGGGCGUGUAGCCGGGAAGGCAAGUCAGAUGUGAAAUCCACGGGCUCAACUCGUGAACUGCAUUUGAAACUGUUUUUCUUGAGUAUCGGAGAGGCAAUCGGAAUUCCUAGUGUAGCGGUGAAAUGCGUAGAUAUUAGGAGGAACACCAGUGGCGAAGGCGGAUUGCUGGACGACAACUGACGGUGAGGCGCGAAAGCGUGGGGAGCAAACAGGA